rnacentral:rRNA from 1 species
AACGUCGCAAGACCAAAGAGGGGGACCUUCGGGCCUCUUGCCAUCGGAUGUGCCCAGAUGGGAUUAGCUAGUAGGUGGGGUAACGGCUCACCUAGGCGACAAUCCCUAGCUGGUCUGAGAGGAUGACCAGCCACACUGGAACUGAGACACGGUCCAGACUCCUACGGGAGGCAGCAGUGGGGAAUAUUGCACAAUGGGCGCAAGCCUGAUGCAGCCAUGCCGCGUGUAUGAAGAAGGCCUUCGGGUUGUAAAGUACUUUCAGCGGGGAGGAAGGGAGUAAAGUUAAUACCUUUGCUCAUUGACGUUACCCGCAGAAGAAGCACCGGCUAACUCCGUGCCAGCAGCCGCGGUAAUACGGAGGGUGCAAGCGUUAAUCGGAAUUACUGGGCGUAAAGCGCACGCAGGCGGUUUGUUAAGUCAGAUGUGAAAUCCCCGGGCUCAACCUGGGAACUGCAUCUGAUACUGGCAAGCUUGAGUCUCGUAGAGGGGGGUAGAAUUCCAGGUGUAGCGGUGA